AGUAUCAUGUGAGCCUAGGAAUCAUGUGAUCACAGGUUCAGCUUACUGAAUCUAGAUUCGGUUCCCAUGAUGGAUAUUUUUCAGCUGUAAGUAGCCUGUACAUUAUUUUACAAUGUCUAAAUUUCCUUGGAUAGCUGUCAUGCCCAUGAGGAGUUCGGCACUGCUGUAUAUUAUUUUUUCGAGAAUGCUUCGCAACUCGAAAAUAAAAGCAAACAAGCCGAAUAUUUAGUAAUAAAAUGGAAGUAUGAAAAGGUCUUAAUUACUAUUGAGCACGGGGUUUGAAAAACCUCUUUUACAAAAUGUCAUUGCUAUAUUGUGGUUAAAACUAAAUUUUUCUAUAAAUUCAAACCCUUUGUAUAUAGGUGCGAACGAGGCCUCGCACUACUUUCAAAUAACUGCACAUUGAUCCACACACACAUAAACACACACAUUCAUAUAACAAUUUCUUUGAAGAGUGGCGAUCACCGUGGUAACACGGAUGUCAGGGGGUGCCUAACACCUUCCCUCCUCAUAAUUAAGCCCCCGGACCCAAAAUGAAUCUCGGUUUCACAGACCUGUUUAGCAGUGUCAAAUCACUGGGUCAAUGUGCAAACCAUUUCCGGUUGCGUUGGUGCAACCAGUUAAAUACACCAACUGGCGAAUCUUAAAGUCAAAUCGUCGACAUUAUACAUGUCGGACCUUUUUCACUUGUUUUUUCAAAAAAAUCUCACAUUAACAUGAGAACACCAAAGAACAAGUAACAAAAAGGGACUCAAAAAUCCCGACGUCGACAAUAAGUUUUCCAAAUCUUCUAGCUUUGCUAGAUUUUCGAAAUUUAUUGACUUCGUGCCGAUGGUUGUACUUUUGAUUUUUGAAAAAUGUUGGGUCACACUAGUGAACCAGAGAAUUUUUUUUAAACAGUGCUAUUAUUCGCGUAUCUAUGUUGUUUUUUUCGGCUAGAUAAAAAAAUGGUUUUUAAAUUUCAAAAUACAUUUUAACUAUAGGUAUCAGGUGAUAUGAUAAACGAUGGAGUCAUCAAUGCAAUGAAACCUGGUGUUGGAUGUGAUCAUUUGAUCAUUUGAUCGUCAGCCCAAUAUAUAUAUAUAUAUAUAUAUAUAUGAAUAUGUAUAUUUCGAUUGAUGUCCAAAUUAUUGUAGAAGUCUAUGCUAUUUGAUUCAGCUAGACAAAUAUUGAAAGAUGUUCAUGAAAUUCAAGCGUUUCUUGAGAAGUUAUGCCAAACCAAAUUGUUUUGGUGCGGAUGCAGAUGUUGAAAAGCUGAGGUGAACAACCCUAUAAAAGGGGACAUGUUAUCGGAGACAAUGGUUCCAAAAGUAACACAUAUAGUCGUUACGAUGUUAAGAUGUAAUACGUUGUGCACGAGGUAGGGGUAUGAUAGGUUGAUCACCUAGAGUACUUGCAGAGAGUGUUUUCAGUUUGUGUGAUUGCUAAACAUUCUGUUAAAGAUGGUUUAUGGUGGUGAUGCACCAUUAAACCUGGAGAAGAGUUCAAGGUCCGUAUAGUCUUAUGACUAUUAAAGGUUUUGUCAUGGAUGGUGAGUUAAGCCAAGAUUUGAUCUUGUACUCACUCCUGGACUCCUUUCACAAUUGUUGUGAAUUUUUUCAAAUGAACAAGCUAGAUAUCAGCCUUGCAGAUUUGCUUAACAUGUUGAAAAAUGUUGAGAGUCAUUUUCCAACCAAGAAAGACCAAGUCUUAUUGGUAGGGGCCAAAUGAUCUUCUGAAAAGAAGAAUGAUUCAAAGAAGGUAAAUAGAAAGGCAAAAAUUAUGGAUAAUAAGAAUAAAAUCGAUAGGAUAGCAAAGGAGUUUGUUUCAACUGCAAUAAGCCUGGACACUGAAAAAGAAACUGCGAGAAGCAUCUUGCAGAGCUAACCAGAAGAAGUUUAGUAAAGUUUUGGUUACAAUACAAUUUUGUUCAUGAUUUAAAAUAAAUUUUUCUUUAAGUUAAGGUUCUACUUGGGUAUUGGAUACCGACUUUGGUUAUCAUAAAUAUAGAUUUAUGAAGGGACCAAGCAGAAGUAGAAAGCUAAACAAAGAUAAGUAAUCCUAUGUGUGGGAAAUGAAGCAAAGGUUACUGCAUUAGCCAUAGAAACUUAUAGUUUAGCAUUGCCUACGGGAAAAUCUAUUAAGUCAAUAAGUUGUUGUUGUAUUCCAGUUCUCGUUAGAAAUAUUAAUUCCAUUUUGUUGUUGGACAAUGAAAUCUUUGGUAUUAUAUUUAAGAACAAUUGUUGUUCUAUAUAUAAUAAUAAUGUUUUGUAUAGAACUGGAAUAUUAUUUAAUGGAUUUUACAUACUUGACUUACAUGAAAAUAAUUUUGCAUAUUGAACAAAUUAAUAUAAGAAAAAGGAGAUGAUUAUUCAAAAGGUUGAAUGUGUGUAUUUGCUGAAAUAUAAUUGUGAAUUAUUUGAAAGGUUCAAAGAAUUCAGAAAUGAAACAAAUUAGCAAAGUAUUAGGAUUCUUUGAUCGGAUCAAGGAAGGAAUACUUGUGCAAUGAGUUUCUAGAUCAUCUCAAAUGGUUUUCUCACAAUGGACGCCUCCUGAUACGCAAUAAUUGAUUAAUGUAUCUGAAAGGAAAAAUCAUACCUUAUUGGACAUGGUACGGUCCAUAAUGAUUUUAUCGGCAUUCCAGUAUCUUUCUGGGGUUAUGCCCUAGAAAUGGCUACAUAUCUACAAAAAAGGUAACCUCAAAAUCCGACCACAAGACUCCAUAAAAUUAUGGACAGGAAGGAUUCCUAAUUUUAAGUAUGUUAAGAUAAGGGGUUGUCUAACUUAUGUGAAAAGGUUUCAAAAGGAUAAGUUUGGGACAAAAUUUGAUAAGUACAGAUUUGUGGGACAUCCUAAAGUAAGUUUAGGGUAUAUGUUCUAUAAUCCUACUUAGCAAAAGGUGUUUGUUGCGAAAAAUACGAUGCCUUCUAAGAUAAAGAUGUUUAUCAUUAAAGGGGCUAGUGGGAGGAUAAUAGAUCUUGAAGAGUUCAAGAACCACAAAAUACUAUAAGUCAAAUAAGAGGAACCUGUAGAUAGACCUAUUGUACCACAACCGAAUCGUAAAUCUGGAAUAGUACCAAAGAUACCUAGGAGGUAUGGAUUCAUCAUAGAUGAUGAUGAUAAGGUACGCAUCAUAGAAGAUGAUGAUCUAGUUACAUACGAUGAGGUAAGAGUUGUAGACACUCAAAGAAAUGGAUUGAAGCAAGCUUCUUAAAAUAUGGAACAUUGGUUUUGAUGAAACAAAUUAAAAGAGUUUGAUUUUAUUAAAUAUAAGAAUGAACCUAGUGUGUAAAAAAGGGUCAGUGGGAGCGCCGUGACAUUCUUGGUAUUAUAUGUUGAUAUACUACAGAUAAGGAAUGACAUACCAAUGCUACAAUUAGUAAAGAUAAAGUUGUCUAAACAUUCCUCCAUAGAUGAUUUGGGAAGAGUAUCGUAAUUGGGGAUAAAAAUCUAUAUAGAUAGAUUUAAGAGGAUGCUCGACUUAACCCAAAGAACGUAUAUUCAUUUGAUGCUAAAGUCGUUUAGCAUGGUAAACUCCAAGAGAUGUCUCAUGUUGAUGAGCCAUGGAGUGUAUCUCUCUUAAUAGUCUCCAUAGACUCCUAAAAAGAGAGAAUGCAUGAGUGACAAUCAUGUAUGCAAUGAAAUAUACGAGACCUGAUGUUAAUCGGACAUAUUCUAGAGAAGAUCACUAUAAGACAGUGAAAAUAUCUUAAAGUACUUAACCGACACUAAGGAUGUAAUUAAAAUUUAUGGCGAGUCUAAAUUAAAACUAGAGGGCUUAACAGACUCAAGUUUUUCAAACAAACCAAGAUAGCAGAAAAUUCACUUUAAGGUAAAGUGUUACCUUGAACAAUGGUGCAAUGAAUUUGAAAGGUUCCAAACAACAAAGAGUUGUUGGUUUAGUGAUAAAGACAAAGUAUAUAGCUAUAAAUGAAGCUGCAAGUUAAUUAUUUGGAUGAAAAGUUCAUUACAGAACUAGGAAUAGUUCCUAAGUCUCAUCUUGGAUCUAAACAUGUGUUGUGGCACUUUCAUUUGAUUAUAGGAAUCAUUGAAAUAUGGGAAAUCACUAUAGAGAUAGUGGACUCUCAAGAACAACAUUACAUAUCCAUUUACUGAAGCUUAUCCAAUAGCAGGAUAAUCGUCACUUAGAGAAGAAAGGUAUGGGAUACCAUGCCGAUUGGCUUUAGUGCAAGUGGGAGAUUGAAAGUAGUAUGCACACAAGCCAAUCAUGUUUGAUGAUAAAGCAUAUACUUUGCAAUAAUCUUAUUCAUUUAUUAAUAAAAAAUAUUAAUUUAUUAAAGGCUUAUAAUUAUCUACAUGAUGCUGUUUUAUAAUAUGUGAUAAACCCAUAGUUUUAAGCAAUGAUUUUAGAAUAAUGAUGAAGAUCAUUCUAAUGAGAUCUAAAUUCUUAGAAAGCUUAAAACUAAAAUAGUCCCCAAUCGUUAGAUUACUAAAUUAGGGAUUAGUGAAUCCGGAUAGAUUGGUACAUACGUUGCUUACUCAUUGGAUGAGAAUGAUUGAUCUCAUGAUCAUUUGUGUGGAGACACUAAAGAAAGUAUGUAGGUGCUUAUUAGAGAAUAAGUUCACUGAACGUGGCUCGCUAAGGAAUACCUAAUGGAGUUUUACUUGCCUGUCAAUAGGAAUUCCUGUAGUGAUAGUAGUACAAGUGAUCCUUGGACUUGAGAUCAUCAUAGUAUCUUGUGUAUGAUGAGUUAUACUUUGACUUAUUCCUUAAGACCCUUAGGGUAUAUCAAAGGGUAUGCUUGGGUAUAAUAAGUUGUACAUGGAGAUAAUGUAUGAUCAAUAAAGAAUCUACCACUUCUAGUAAAAGAAGAGAAAUGUCCUAUGUGAUUCGAUAAAUGACAACCCAGUAGUCCUUGGCCAAGGCAGAAUGAAAUUAGAAAGGAGUUUCUAAUUUGCAUUAUUUGGAGUUGUGCAUUUAAGAGUCGAAAUACAUAUAAUUAAAUAAAAUAAGACUUGACAGUAAUUCCAUGUCUUAUAUUUAAUUGGGACAUUGUAUGGUGGAAGGAUUGAAUUGUACGGUAACUAUUUACUCAAAGGUUCUUUUAUGAUUAAUGUUGAAAUCUAUAUUAUCUGGAAAGUCGUUGAUCGCUAGGGAGGCUUAUCCCUAUUGUAGAAUAAAUAUUAUUUAUUUAAAUUAAUUAAUAGUUUAAUUUAUUUAUUUAAAUAAGAUUAUAAUUGUUCUAAUUUAUUUAUUCGCAACCAGUUUAAUAUGGAGAACCUAAAGGGUCACACCAUAAAAGGAAGAAUAAUUAUUUAAGAAGUUAUUGGCAUAAUCUUAAUAAUAAGUUAAGUAUAUUUAAUUUAAUCUAUGUUGAUAGAAUAAAUUAAAUUGCUUAAUAUUUAUUAUUUAAUAUUUUGGAAAUAUUAUAUAUAUAUUUAUAAGAGGAGUCUUAUUAUUAUUAUUACUAUUAUUAUUAUUAUUUAAUUCCUAAGGGAGUUUGAGAAUUAAUUAAUAAAAGUACUCUCAUAUAAUCUGUUGACUUUGUUAUAUUCCAUCCUUAUGUUUUGAUGAUGAAAUGUUCAAAGUACUAAAUUGUUUUAUGAUAUGUUUCAGGUAUUUUGGUGAAAAAGAGCUUUGAUGGGUUAUUCAAGAAUUUGAAGGAAUUUCUUACUAGGAAAAUAAAUGUAAGAUCAAUAGCAUAAUAAUUGAUUUUUCAUUUAAAGGCUCUAGGACAUAUUAUUUGCAUUUUUAUUAUAUGUCUUAAAUGAAAAAUGUUUUUAAAUGAUUUUAUAUGAAAAGUUUUUUUAAGGAGUAAAAACAUAUAUUUUGUGCAUGAUAGCCAUAUUCUUUUUUUUAGAUGUGAUAUGUGUGCAUGCUACGCAUGGAUAUUUUAAAUGGCAGCUAGACUUUAUUGUAUGUGCGGUUUUUGAGGAAUGAUUAUGCAUAUUUUGAUAUCCGGUUAUGAUAUGAAUGCUUUAUAUAGAUCUGCUUGAUAAUCUCUUAUUGAGAUAAGAUGUGUGUGUGAGAAUUUCAAGGAAAAGCUAUUAUCAUUAUCUUGGACUCUUAAAGGUCUAAUGUCUUGGAAAAAUAACUGACUGAUGUGCUUCUAUUUUAGACGUCACUUUUGAGUAAGGAGAUUAAGUCAAAAUUAUUUAUCUCUUAAGUCUUUUGUUUUAUUCCACUAACAAGAGUCUGUUCUCUUAAUAUGGAUAUAUAUUAAAGAUAUGGACUUAGUCUAGCUUUACCGUUGUGGAAAUUGCCGAUUGAUUAAUUAGUACAUAUCUUUUAUUAACGGUAACUUGUGUAAGGGCUAUAUAAAUGAUGUUUCUCAUUUAGAAAAUAACACAACUCAUGAAAUUACUACUUGCACUUAUUACUGUUAUCGAGCAAUUUGAUUUUGUCAAGUGCAAACUUUUGAGAAGCUAAUUAAGCAAUUAAUUUUCUGGUAUUAUUUGAGCUGGUAUUCGGUAAGAAAUUAAUUGUUUAUCUAUUGUGUGCUAAUUGAUCAUUGCAUUUAGUUGAGCCUUUAAUUGUUAAAUUGAUUAUUCUUGCAUUGAUCAUAGACCUCUAUAAUUGUAUUGGAUUUUCUGUUUUAGACUAAGUGUAGUCUAAAGGUGUUAAUCCUAGUGGAUUAGAGAAAAGGGUUACAAACAGGUUCAAGAAAGCAAAGCUGCUUGAAGAGUGCAUAGGUGCAUAAGGAGCAAGAGAGCUCAAAGGAAAAUUAAUUGUUAAUUAAUUUUUGUUAGAAUCUGUUUUGUAAUCUAUAUUUAUUUAUAAAGAAAUAAAUAAAGUGAGUCUCCAAUGCUAGUUGGUAUUGGACGUGGACUAGGCUAUUAUUAUAGAG
rnacentral:lncRNA from 1 species